UACUUAGCAGAAACAAUGGUGGGAUGAACGAACAACACUGCCACUAUCAUACUAUGUUCACCUCUCUGAAGAGAACAACUACCAUCCAUCUCCAGCCUAUAUUGCAGCAGAGCCAGCCAUGGAUGCUGCAGCAUUUCAACAAUCUCUGUUUGGAAAUGGGCCACUCCAUUUAUGCAGCACAAGACUAUGACUAAGAUCAUAUUUAUAUUAAUAAUAUGAACUGGCUAUACCAUUUCA